GCCCUCUAUUGAUGCCACCCACCUCACAGAA
rnacentral:piRNA from 1 species